ensembl:lncRNA
AAAUGUAUAAAUAGCUCAUCAACUUUCAGUGUAGGAAAAUGCAACAACUCUGUUUGUCUCAUAAAAUAUCGUCAUAAAAGAUUGUCAUUUCCGUUCAGUGUCCCCAACCUGGCAACCAGCGGAUCAUUGGUCUGGCUAUACGUCGCCAGGGAUGGCCUCCACAGGCAGAUCUAAUCAGUAUUAGGGGAGACACUGCCAACCAUCUUUGACGUGACCCGAGAUGGUGCAAUGAUGACACAACUGGUGUCGCGUAUGUAAUUCUAUUCCGCAGAGACCCAGCCUAUCGCAGCAAUUGUUGAGCGGGGACAGAGUGAAGAGGGGGAUUCGACUGCAUUGGUGCUUCUGAAUGGUUUCUUCAUAAUGUCAUGAUCUCCUCAGAACAGCGCCUUCACCCAGCGGCUGAGACCACUCCCUGUCCCUGCUGAGAGUUGCUGUAUCCCCCACAUUAAAGCUGAUUGAAUUUUGGAAAUCUCUCAUUACGGUUAUUAGAUUAGAGGGGUGGAGGGGGGCGGGGGAGCAGUGCUGGCCACAUAUCCAGCAUGAAAGACUCCUCUGAUUGUAUUGACUUGUACAUAAUGAUCCUAUUGAAGACGCAUAAGGCCAG